rnacentral:rRNA from 1 species
AACGCGAAGAACCUUACCUGGUCUUGACAUCCACGGAAGUUUUCAGAGAUGAGAAUGUGCCUUCGGGAACCGUGAGACAGGUGCUGCAUGGCUGUCGUCAGCUCGUGUUGUGAAAUGUUGGGUUAAGUCCCGCAACGAGCGCAACCCUUAUCCUUUGUUGCCAGCGGUCCGGCCGGGAACUCAAAGGAGACUGCCAGUGAUAAACUGGAGGAAGGUGGGGAUGACGUCAAGUCAUCAUGGCCCUUACGACCAGGGCUACACACGUGCUACAAUGGCGCAUACAAAGAGAAGCGACCUCGCGAGAGCAAGCGGACCUCAUAAAGUGCGUCGUAGUCCGGAUAGGAGUCUGCAACUCGACUCCAUGAAGUCGGAAUCGCUAGUAAUCGUGGAUCAGAAUGCCACGGUGAAUACGUUCCCGGGCCUUGUACACACCG